CCUCCCCGGCGUCCCUCUCGCCCUCCGCCGGCCUCCCCUCGCUGCCCUAGCCGUUGGACGAGCUUCGUCCAGCCAAGAAUAAUGGCUGGAAAAAUGGGUUUCUAGCCCUGUUCAAGGCCCGUUUUGGGCCGUUUCCGGGCCCCGAACCCGAGCCAUGCUUUGGGAAGAAUUGUUCCUCGCGUCGCCUCCGUCGAUUGAUCCGAUUUGCGCGCGAUUUGGUGAGUAAUCUCACUAAUCCCGG
rnacentral:lncRNA from 1 species